CAGGGCCCUGACAGGAAGGCCAGUGUAAAGGAUUAGCUGAAGAGCGUUUAACGAAGAGGUGAUUUGCAGAGUUAAGAAGCAUGGGAUUUGAAGACCUCUGAUUUUAGAGUUUUAUCAACUCUGCCUCAUUGGAAGUUUUAGAAGCUUUAGGCAUUGUUUAGAACCCCUUGCUGGUGGCCCUCUGGGCUCCAGAGGAAGUCAGAGAGAUUUCCAGAUGGGAGGAUGCCGGACAAGGAUGUGAAGCAACUGGGACUUUCCUACAUUGCUGGC